rnacentral:lncRNA from 1 species
GUGUUGGACUUUGUUGUACAAAUUCCCCGGGUUGGUUAGUGGAAAAAAGAAAAUUUACUUGCGUUAAUUGUAUUACUAGCCCCAAGAAAAUAAAUUGGAGCCGUAUACUUAUUUCUCCAAUCUCCAUAUGUAAUCAAAAUUGUUUGGUGAUAAAAUAAGUGUGGCUUUUAAUUUUAGUGUUAGUUUGUCAUCUUGUCCCUUCCGUUUUUGUCUCAAAUUAUUAGUCGUAAUUUCUAAAAAUUAAUAUCUUAAAUUAUUUAUUAUUUUAAAAUCAAUACAUAAUUAUU